CUGGUUGAUCCUGCCAGUAGUCAUAUGCUUGUCUCAAAGACUAAGCCAUGCAUGUCUAAGUAUAAAUGUUAUACAGUGAAACUGCGAAUGGCUCAUUAAAACAGUUAUAGUUUAUUUGAUAAUCGAAUUUACAUGGAUAACCGUGGUAAUUCUAGAGCUAAUACAUGCUGGUUAGCCUGACUUCGAGAAAGGGCUGUAUUUAUUAGAUAACAAACCAAUAUUCUUCGUGUCUAUUGUGAUGACUCAUAAUAACUGAUCGAAUCGCAUGGUCCUUGACCGCGAUAAAUCAUUCAAGUUUCUGCCCCAUCAGCUUUCGAUGGUAGUGUAUUGGACUACCAUGGCUUUAACGGGUAACGGAGGAUUAGGGUUCGAUUCCGGAGAGGGAGCCUGAGAAACGGCUACCACAUCUAAGGAAGGCAGCAGGCGCGUAAAUUACCCAAUCCUGACUCAGGGAGGUAGUGACAAGAAAUAACGGACCGAGGCUUUGCUUCGGGAUUGCAAUGAGUAGAAUUUAAACCCCUUUACGAGGAUCCAUUGGAGGGCAAGUCUGGU
rnacentral:rRNA from 1 species